rnacentral:rRNA from 1 species
UACAGGGGGUGCAAACGUUGCUCGGAAUUAUUGGGCGUAAAGCGCGCGUAGGCGGCUACUUAAGUCGGAUGUGAAAGCCCUUGGCUCAACUGAGGAAGUGCACCCGAAACUGAGUGGCUAGAGUACGAAAGAGGGUCGCGGAAUUCCCGGUGUAGAGGUGAAAUUCGUAGAUAUCGGGAGGAACACCAGUGGCGAAGGCGGCGAUCUGGGUCGAUACUGACGCUGAGGUGCGAAAGCGUGGGGAGCAAACAGG